AUAAGCUAGUAAGGUCCCCGGAAGACUACCGGGUUGAUAGGCAGCAUGUGUAAGCGUGGUGACACGUUCAGCUAGGCUGUACUAAUAGACCGAGGGCUUGACCUU
rnacentral:rRNA from 1 species